rnacentral:rRNA from 1 species
CGUGUAGGCGGCUUGGUAAGUCAGGUGUGAAAGCCCUGGGCUCAACCCAGGAAGUGCACUUGAAACUGCCUUGCUUGAGUACGGGAGAGGAAAGCGGAAUUCCUGGUGUAGAGGUGAAAUUCGUAGAUAUCAGGAGGAACACCGGUGGCGAAGGCGGCUUUCUGGCCCAAUACUGACGCUGAGACGCGAAAGCGUGGGGAGCAAACA